GUGGAGCAGGGAAGCUGGUCACCUGGGUGGAUGGGGGCCUCAGGACCUCCCCUCCACACAGAUCUCUCAGGGCCCUGAGGAUGCUGGAGCAGGGUGGAGCUGGGGGACAACCUUCCACUUUUCUGGGAGGACCAUCCGGAUGUGGCAGGAGAGCUCCAGUGGUGGGGAAUUCACCCAGAAGUUCUAUAGAUGCCAUGUCACAGGCUGGGUGCUCUGCUCGUCUGGAAAUAUUCUAUGUCCCAAGAGUCUACAUCUAGGACUUCUGGUGUCUGCUAGUCUUCACAGCUUUAGCCAAAGAAGGAGACCACAUGAAGAGAAAUGCCUGGGCCUGUGAGGACUGUUGGUGCCCUGAAGCCCUUGUUAUUGGCAGCAUGUCACAAACAAGUCCAUAAAACAACUGAGUCUCCAUCUUAGAAUCUCAAAACGUGUCCACAGGGACACAGUGGGCUCCAAUGGCUAGCUAAUUACCACCAAUCUCCAGUCCACACGAUAUCUAACCAAGGUCACAUUCCUCCUUCUUCAACCUCAGGAUCUCCC
rnacentral:lncRNA from 1 species